AGCAGCCGCGGUAAUUCCAGCUCCAAUAGCGUAUAUUAAAGUUGUUGCAGUUAAAAAGCUCGUAGUUGAAUUUCGGGAUUGGCGCAUCGGUCGUGCCUCACGGGGUAUGAACUGGUGUAGUCAAUUUCUCACCUUCUGGAGAACCGCGAUGUCCUUAAUUGGGUGCCGCGGGGAACCAGGACCUUUACUUUGAAAAAAUUAGAGUGUUUAAAGCAGGCAUGUUUGCUUGAAUACAUUAGCAUGGAAUAAUAAAAUAGGACGGCAUGGUUCUAUUUUGUUGGUUUCUAGGACCACCGUAAUGAUUAAUAGGGAUAGUUGGGGGCAUUAGUAUUCAAUUGUCAGAGGUGAAAUUCUUGGAUUUAUUGAAGACUAACUACUGCGAAAGCAUUUGCCAAGGAUGUUUUCAUUAAUCAAGAACGAAAGUUAGGGGAUCGAAGACGAUCAGAUACCGUCGUAGUCUUAACCAUAAACUAUGCCGACUAGGAAUCAGACGAUGUUAAUUUUUAAUGACUCGUUUGGC
rnacentral:rRNA from 1 species